AUUGAGCGCUGGCGGCAUGCCUUACACAUGCAAGUCGAACGGCAGCAUGGAGAGCUUGCUCUCUGAUGGCGAGUGGCGAACGGGUGAGUAAUGCAUCGGAACGUACCGUGUAAUGGGGGAUAACGUAGCGAAAGUUACGCUAAUACCGCAUACGACCUGAGGGUGAAAGCAGGGGAUCGCAAGACCUUGCGUUAUACGAGCGGCCGAUGUCAGAUUAGCUAGUUGGUGAGGUAAAGGCUCACCAAGGCGACGAUCUGUAGCGGGUCUGAGAGGAGGAUCCGCCACACUGGGACUGAGACACGGCCCAGAAUCCGACGGGAGGCAGCAGUGGGGAAUUUUGGACAAUGGGGGCAACCCUGAUCCAGCCAUGCCGCGCGAGUGAAGAAGGCCUUCGGGUUGUAAAGCUCUUUCGACCGGGAAGAAAUCGCACAGGCUAAUACUCUGUGUGGAUGACGGUACCGGCGUAAGAAGCACCGGCUAACUACGUGCCAGCAGCCGCCGUAA
rnacentral:rRNA from 1 species